ensembl:snoRNA small nucleolar RNA SNORA8
AGCACUGCAGUAUCUGCAGACAGUUGCUUCGCCAACUGGUCUGUUCAAAAGUCGGUGCGAGAAGAACGCAGUAUUGGCAUCGUUGGUCUCCUUGCUGCCAGUGCUUGGAGUCCUGGUAAACUUGCUGCAACACUA